AGCUCCAAUAGCGUAUAUUAAAGUCGUUGCAGUUAAAAAUUUCGUAGGUGGGUUUCUGGUGGGAGUGAUCGAUCCAGCACUCCUGUUUCGGUACUCGUAUUGUCUCCGGUCAUCCGUGGGUGGAGUCUGUUUGGCAUUAAGUUGUCGAGCAUGUGAUGCUCAUCGUUUACUGUGAAAACAUUAGAGCGUUCAAAGUAGACUUAGGUCGUUGAAUAUAUUAGUAUGGAAUAAUAAGAUAGAACCUUGGUACUAUUUUGUUGGUUUGCGCACCGGAGUAAUGAUUAAUAGAGACAGUUGGGGUUAUUUGUAUUCCGUUGUCAGAGGUGCAAUUCUUGGAUUUACGGAAGACAAACUACUGCGAAAGUAUUUACCAAGGAUUUUUUCA
rnacentral:rRNA from 1 species